rnacentral:rRNA from 1 species
GAUGAACGCUGGCGGCGUGCCUAAUACAUGCAAGUCGAGCGAACGGACGAGAAGCUUGCUUCUCUGAUGUUAGCGGCGGACGGGUGAGUAACACGUGGAUAACCUACCUAUAAGACUGGGAUAACUUCGGGAAACCGUAGCUAAUACCGGAUAAUAUUUUGAACCGCAUGGUUCAAAAGUGAAAGACGGUCUUGCUGUCACUUAUAGAUGGAUCCGCGCUGCAUUAGCUAGUUGGUAAGGUAACGGCUUACCAAGGCAACGAUGCAUAGCCGACCUGAGAGGGUGAUCGGCCACACUGGAACGGAGACACGGUCCAGACUCCUGCGGGAGGCAGCAGUAGGGAAUCUUCCGCAAUGGGCGAAAGCCUGACGGAGCAACGCCGCGUGAGAGAUGAAGGUCUUCGGAUCGUAAAACUCUGUUAUUAGGGAAGAACAUAUGUGUAAGUAACUGUGCACAUCUUGACGGUACCUAAUCAGAAAGCCACGGCUAACUACGUG